AUUAGGUUUUUGAAGGAUAGGGCACUGGCUGCUGCAUGUUAUUGCACUGUUAGGGUUAGGCAGAGCUUUGUUUCAUUGUUUAUUGUCCCAACUGGGCCUUUGAUGAGUAAAGAGGAGGUGAGCCACUAGGCUGAGCAGGUGAGGACGAAAUCCACGUGGGUGAAUCUGCUGUCUUUUCUGUGGUUCCCUUAUGAGGGUUUUUUCAAAGGGACAAAGGUGCCAGGCCCAAAGCGGGCCCGGGUUUCCAAAAAUUUUGGCCUAUCAGACCUUUGAUGAGGAUUAUUACGCCCCAAGUAUUCAACCUGGACUGAUUCUGAGAAGGAAGCCCUCAAAGAUUGAGCGUGCUAUAAGCAUGAGGCACAGGCCGAUUAGGGUUGGGGUUAGCGGUUAGGGUUUUAGGGUUAGAAUGAGGAGUGG